UACGUAGGGUGCGAGCGUUAAUCGGAAUUACUGGGCGUAAAGUGUGCGCAGGCGGCUGAGCAAGUCGAGUGUGAAAGCCCCGGGCUUAACUUGGGAAUUGCGCUCGAAACUACUUGGCUGGAGUGUGGCAGAGGAAGGUGGAAUUCCACGUGUAGCGGUGAAAUGCGUAGAGAUGUGGAGGAACACCGAUGGCGAAGGCAGCCCCCUGGGCCAACACUGACGCUCAGGCACGAAAGCGUGGGGAGCAAACAGG
rnacentral:rRNA from 1 species